CCUACGGGAGGCAGCAGUGGGGAAUAUUGCACAAUGGGGGAAACCCUGAUGCAGCGACGCCGCGUGAGGGAAGAAGUAAUUCGUUAUGUAAAGCUCUUUCAGUAGGGAAGAAAAUGACGGUACCUGAGUAAGAAGCCCCGGCUAACUACGUGCCAGCAGCCGCGGUAAUACGGAGGGGGCAAGCGUUAUCCGGAUUUACUGGGUGUAAAGGGAGCGUAGACGGCAGUGCAAGUCUGGAGGUAAAGGCGGGGGCCCAACCCCCGGACUGCUCUGGAAACUGUACGGCUGGAGUGCAGGAGAGGUAAGUGGAAUUCCUAGUGUAGCGGUGAAAUGCGUAGAUAUUAGGAGGAACACCAAUGGCGAAGGCAGCUUACUGGACUGUAACUGACGUUGAGGCUCGAAAGCGUGGGGAGCAAACAGGAUUAGAUACCCGGGUAGUC
rnacentral:rRNA from 1 species